AGAGUUUGAUCAUGGCUCAGGAUGAACGCUAGCGGCAGGCUUAACACAUGCAAGUCGAGGGGCAACGAGAGUAGCAAUACUUGUCGGCGACCGGCAGACGGGUGAGUAACGCGUACGCAACAUACCUUUAACAGGAGGAUAGCCCGAAGAAAUUCGGAUUAAUACUCCAUAAGACUACGAGAUGGCAUCUGAACGUAGUAAAAGCUGAGGCGGUUAAAGAUUGGCAUGCGUGAUAUUAGAUAGUUGGGGAGGUAACGGCUCACCAAGUCAAUGAUAUCUAUGGGGUCUGAAAGGAUGAACCCACACACUGGUACUGAGACACGGACCAGACUCCUACGGGAGGCAGCAGUGAGGAAUAUUGGUCAAUGGCCGCGAGGCUGAACCAGCCAUGCCGCGUGAAGGACGACGGCCCUAUGGGUUGUAAACUUCUUUUCUACGGGGGUAACCUCUCGAACGAGUUCGGGACUGAAAGUACUGUAGGAAUAAGCAUCGGCUAACUCCGUGCCAGCAGCCGCGGUAAUACGGAGGAUGCGAGCGUUAUCCGGAUUUACUAGGUUUAAAGGGUGCGUAGGUGGCUUUAUAAGUCAGUGGUGAAAUUUCAUGGCUCAACUGUGAAACUGCCAUUGAUACUGUAGGGCUUGAGUGGAGUUGAGGCAGGCGGAAUGUGUAAUGUAGCGGUGAAAUGCAUAGAUAUUACACAGAACACCGAUUGCGAAGGCAGCUUGCUAAACUCAGACUGACACUGAUGCACGAAAGCGUGGGGAUCAAACAGGAUUAGAUACCCUGGUAGUCCACGCUGUAAACGAUGAUUACUGGCUGUGUGCGAUAUACCGUACGCGGCUGAGCGAAAGCAUUAAGUAAUCCACCUGGGGAGUACGGCGGCAACGCUGAAACUCAAAUGAAUUGACGG
rnacentral:rRNA from 1 species